rnacentral:pre_miRNA from 1 species
UAUCAAGGUGGCUGGGAUUUGGGUUUUUAUUGCCCCAUAUCACAGCCAGCUUUGAUAAG